GCAGUCGUGCGANNNNCUCCUUCGGGAGGCGGAAAGCGGCGAAAGGGAGAGUAACGCGUGGAAAUCUACCCUCAGAUCUGGGAUAGCGGCGGGAAACUGCCGGUAAUACCGGAUAAUGUCUCCGGACCAAAGGUGUGAUUCCGUCCGAGGAUGAGUCCGCGUCCUAUUAGCUUGUUGGUGGGGUAAAGGCCCACCAAGGCUGAGAUGGGUACCGGGUGUGAGAGCAUGGCCCGGCUCACUGGGACUGAGACACUGCCCAGACACCUACGGGUGGCUGCAGUCGAGAAUCUUCGGCAAUGGGCGCAAGCCUGACCGAGCGACGCCGCGUGCGGGAUGAAGGCCUUCGGGUUGUAAACCGCUGUCAGAGGGAAGGAAAUGCCUGGUUUAUACCCAGGUUUGACCGAUCCUCAGAGGAAGUCCGGGCUAAGUUCGUGCCAGCAGCCGCGGUAAGACGAACCGGACGAACGUUAUUCGGAAUCACUGGGCUUAAAGAGUGCGUAGGCGGCUUGGCAAGUUGGGUGUGAAAUCCCUCGGCUCAACCGAGGAACUGCGCUCAAAACUGCCAAGCUUGAGGGAGAUAGAGGAGAGCGGAACUGAUGGUGGAGCGGUGAAAUGCGUUGAUAUCAUCAGGAACACCGGUGGCGAAAGCGGCUCUCUGGGUCUCUUCUGACGCUGANGCACGAAAGCUAGGGGANCGAACGGGAUUAGAUACCCCGGUAGUCCUAGCUGUAAACGAUGANCACUGGGUUGAGGGGACCCCCACGUCCUCUCGGCCGUAGCGAAANUGUUAAGUGCUCCGCCUGGGGAGUAUGGUCGCANGGCUGAANCUCAAAGGAAUUGACGGGGCUCAC
rnacentral:rRNA from 1 species